UACGGAGGGUGCGAGCGUUGUUCGGAUUUAUUGGGCGUAAAGCGCGUGUAGGCGGUCUUUUAAGUCUGAUGUGAAAGCCCUGGGCUCAACCUGGGAAGCGCAUUGGAAACUGGGAGACUUGAAUACGGGAGAGGGUAGUGGAAUUCCUGGUGUAGGAGUGAAAUCCGUAGAUAUCAGGAGGAACACCGGUGGCGAAGGCGGCUACCUGGACCGAUAUUGACGCUGAGACGCGAAAGCGUGGGGAG
rnacentral:rRNA from 1 species